UGGAUAUAUAUUUUAAACAUUGGGUUUUCUAAAACCUAAUAAUAAUAACAAUAAUUAUAAUUAUAAAAAUACAUCAUCAUAUAUAUUCAGAGGUAAGCCCUCUAUACAAUAAUAUUCUGCUUUCUGCUUUUUCUCCAGUUUCAAGACUACACCUUAUUUUCUCUAAAGUAGUGCUUGCCCAUUAACUUGUACAUAGAUUUUAUAGUUCCUUAUUCUGAGGCAGCUCUUAACAUGAUGAACCUCUAUUUAAAAUCUGAAUGUCACACACAAUAUAGUAUCAAUGCUGUCUUCUAAUUCAUUUUCACUGGCUGAGUUGUGAGACCAGAUCCGAAGGGAAAGNNNNN
rnacentral:lncRNA from 1 species